rnacentral:rRNA from 1 species
GUGGGGAAUAUUGGACAAUGGGCGAAAGCCUGAUCCAGCCAUGCCGCGUGUGUGAAGAAGGUCUUCGGAUUGUAAAGCACUUUAAGUUGGGAGGAAGGGCAGUAAGUUAAUACCUUGCUGUUUUGACGUUACCGACAGAAUAAGCACCGGCUAACUUCGUGCCAGCAGCCGCGGUAAUACGAAGGGUGCAAGCGUUAAUCGGAAUUACUGGGCGUAAAGCGCGCGUAGGUGGUUUUGUAAGUUGGAUGUGAAAUCCCCGGGCUCAACCUGGGAACUGCCUACAAAAAUGCAUGACUAGAGUACUGUAGAGGGUAGUGGAAUUUCCUGUGUAGCGGUGAAAUGCGUAGAUAUAGGAAGGAACACCAGUGGCGAAGGCGACUACCUGGACUGAUACUGACACUGAGGUGCGAAAGCGUGGGGAGCAAACAGGAUUAGAUACCCUAGUAGUCC